rnacentral:rRNA from 1 species
GAUGAACGCUGGCGGCGUGCCUAAUACAUGCAAGUCGAGCGAACGGACGAGAAGCUUGCUUCUCUGAUGUUAGCGGCGGACGGGUGAGCAACACGUGGAUAACCUACCUAUAAGACUGGGAUAACUUCGGGGAACCGUAGCUAAUACCGGAUAAUAUUUUGAACCGCAUGGUUCAAAAGUGAAAGACGGUCUUGCUGUCACUUAUAGAUGGAUCCGCGCUGCAUUAGCUAGUUGGUAAGGUAACGGCUUACCAAGGCAACGAUGCAUAGCCGACCUGAGAGGGUGAUCGGCCACACUGGAACUGAGACACGGUCCAGACUCCUACGGGAGGCAGCAGUAGGGAAUCUUCCGCAAUGGGCGAAAGCCUGACGGAGCAACACCGCGUGAGUGAUGAAGGUCUUCGGAUCGUAAAACUCUGUUAUUAGGGAAGAACAUAUGUGUAAGUAACUGUGCACAUCUUGACGGUACCUAAUCAGAAAGCCACGGCUAACUACGUGCCAGCAGCCGCGGUAAUACGUAGGUGGCAAGCGUUAUCCGGAAUUAUUGGGCGUAAAGCGCGCGUAGGCGGUUUUUUAAGUCUGAUGUGAAAGCCCACGGCUCAACCGUGGAGGGUCAUUGGAAACUGGAAAACUUGAGUGCAGAAGAGGAAAGUGGAAUUCCAUGUGUAGCGGUGAAAUGCGCAGAGAUAUGGAGGAACACCAGUGGCGAAGGCGACUUUCUGGUCUGUAACUGACGCUGAUGUGCGAAAGCGUGGGGAUCAAACAGGAUUAGAUACCCUGGUAGUCCACGCCGUAAACGAUGAGUGCUAAGUGUUAGGGGGUUUCCGCCCCUUAGUGCUGCAGCUAACGCAUUAAGCACUCCGCCUGGGGAGUACGACCGCAAGGUUGAAACUCAAAGGAAUUGACGGGGACCCGCACAAGCGGUGGAGCAUGUGGUUUAAUUCGAAGCAACGCGAAGAACCUUACCAAAUCUUGACAUCCUUUGACAACUCUAGAGAUAGAGCCUUCCCCUUCGGGGGACAAAGUGACAGGUGGUGCAUGGUUGUCGUCAGCUCGUGUCGUGAGAUGUUGGGUUAAGUCCCGCAACGAGCGCAACCCUUAAGCUUAGUUGCCAUCAUUAAGUUGGGCACUCUAAGUUGACUGCCGGUGACAAACCGGAGGAAGGUGGGGAUGACGUCAAAUCAUCAUGCCCCUUAUGAUUUGGGCUACACACGUGCUACAAUGGACAAUACAAAGGGCAGCGAAACCGCGAGGUCAAGCAAAUCCCAUAAAGUUGUUCUCAGUUCGGAUUGUAGUCUGCAACUCGACUACAUGAAGCUGGAAUCGCUAGUAAUCGUAGAUCAGCAUGCUACGGUGAAUACGUUCCCGGGUCU